rnacentral:tRNA from 1 species
GCGGAUGUAGCGCAGUUGGUAGCGCAUCACCUUGCCAAGGUGAGGGUCGCGAGUUCGAGUCUCGUCAUCCGCUCGAGUC